rnacentral:rRNA from 1 species
AUGCACCGCCUCCGCGGUGUCCCGGAGCUGGACGCGGAGCCUCCUGUUCUGCUCCCUGAGCUGCGCCCGCUCCUUCUCCCGGUCGAUCCUCACCGUCGACAGCUCCGCGGCGAGGGCGGCGGCGAAGGCCGUGCCGCAGCCCUUCUUGCCGGCCCUGGCGGCCGCCCUCUUCACCUCCGCGAUGCCCCCCAUGACGCCGCGGUGCCGCUCGAGGAGGUCGUUGUACAGCUCCUGGAGCUCCACGUAGUGCUCGAUGAUCCUGGCGUGGCCGUAGAUGGCCCGCUGGAGGGCGUCGUCCAGCUCCUCCGUGCACUUCUUCUCGUCCCGGAGCUCCGCCUCCGUCUUCUCCGCGUGCCUCCGGCUCGACUCCAGGAUGAGCAAAUGGUAGAAGCCGAACUGGCGUCCCCCUCCGGUAAAGCCUCAAGGGCUGAACUUGCUUUUGCUGACUGGCGGGGGUUCAGUGCAAAAUGGUCAAAUGAAAGGCCAACAAACGAUUUUCGUGGUGCUGGAGGAUUCUGCUGA